GAUAUACUCCCUUCAUUCGAAAUAUUCGUCGGAGGAAUGGAUGUAUCUAGACAUAUUUUAGUUCUAGAUGCAUCCAUUUUUAUCCAUUUCUCCGACAAGUAUUUCCAGGUGAAGGGAGUAUAAG
rfam:Triticum aestivum genome assembly, contig: Triticum_aestivum_CS42_TGACv1_scaffold_251452_3DL